UGGGGAUAUGAGCACGGAUCUGAGUGAGAUUUGCAGCCGAUGGAGUGGUGUUUGCCAUGGUCGAGAAACGAGACGAAAGUGAAGAAGAAGAAACAAAACGUGGAGGGAGAGAUAAAUAAGAAACAGAGGAGUACGAAAGAACAGAGAGAAGAGAAGAAAGGAAAAAAAAAUAUGUAAGAGAGUAGGAGAAGAGAAGAAAAAGAAACGAGAGAGAGGCGGCUGAUUAGAUCUUUG
rnacentral:lncRNA from 1 species